CAGAGAUGAUGCUAGGUGGUUGAUAGACCUGUAGUUCAACUUGAUUCCUAGAUAGAAGCUGGAGUCAUCUGAUACCAGAGAAAUGAAAUUUCAGGUUACCGAAACUAGAUCUGAGUCUCACUUCUUUCCCAGCCUCGAACUCUUGGGUGCUGUGAAUCCUGGAUAUACAAUACAUGAAGACAGCAUUUUUCUAUUAUGCAUGAAGGUAGAUGAUUCUUCAAAUUAAAGGCGGAAGCUGACUUUGCUCAUCAGAAAUGGUUUACAGAAUUAACUUGCAAAAAUGUAAGAGGCAGCAAAGGAAAGAGUAAAAUAUUUUCUUCUAUCAGUCUUAGAUUCUUUGCUAGAUUGUAAAUUCCAUGAAAGCAGGAUAACUUCCUUAUCCCUAAUACCUGGCCCAGAAUAGGUACUCAAAAAAUAUUUGAAGUGAAUUGAAAUCUCCAUUGAUUUUUUUUUUUUUUAAAUCUCUGGAAAAUGGCAACCAUUUUAAUGGCAUUUCAGCAAGACAUUUACAUGGAAUAACUGGGACUUAAAUUACGACUGAUGUAAAAUGUAUAUAUAGGUACAUUAAACUAUCUGGGUACCAAUAAGUCUACUUAAAACUCUUAAUA